UAAAAGGUGAAGGCUGGCGGCCGGCGGCGGCUGCGCGGGCCACAUGACGAGGUCUGGCGGGCCGGAUUCGGCCCGCGGGCCUUGUGUUUGACACCCGUGAUGUAGAAGACCUGUAUUCUUUGGUAUUUCUCUGAGGC